rnacentral:rRNA from 1 species
GUCGAGGGGCAGCAUGGUCUUAGCUUGCUAAGGCUGAUGGCGACCGGCGCACGGGUGAGUAACACGUAUCCAACCUGCCGUCUACUCUUGGCCAGCCUUCUGAAAGGAAGAUUAAUCCAGGAUGGGAUCAUGAGUUCACAUGUCCGCAUGAUUAAAGGUAUUUUCCGGUAGACGAUGGGGAUGCGUUCCAUUAGAUAGUAGGCGGGGUAACGGCCCACCUAGUCAACGAUGGAUAGGGGUUCUGAGAGGAAGGUCCCCCACAUUGGAACUGAGACACGGUCCAAACUCCUACGGGAGGCAGCAGUGAGGAAUAUUGGUCAAUGGGCGAUGGCCUGAACCAGCCAAGUAGCGUGAAGGAUGACUGCCCUAUGGGUUGUAAACUUCUUUUAUAAAGGAAUAAAGUCGGGUAUGCAUACCCGUUUGCAUGUACUUUAUGAAUAAGGAUCGGCUAACUCCGUGCCAGCAGCCGCGGUAAUACGGAGGAUCCGAGCGUUAUCCGGAUUUAUUGGGUUUAAAGGGAGCGUAGAUGGAUGUUUAAGUCAGUUGUGAAAGUUUGCGGCUCAACCGUAAAAUUGCAGUUGAUACUGGAUGUCUUGAGUGCAGUUGAGGCAGGCGGAAUUCGUGGUGUAGCGGUGAAAUGCUUAGAUAUCACGAAGAACUCCGAUUGCGAAGGCAGCCUGCUAAGC